UAUGUAGGUGGCAAGCGUUGUCCGGAUUUACUGGGUGUAAAGGGCGUGCAGCCGGAGAGACAAGUCAGAUGUGAAAUCCACGGGCUCAACCCGUGAACUGCAUUUGAAACUGUUUCCCUUGAGUGUCGGAGAGGUAAUCGGAAUUCCUUGUGUAGCGGUGAAAUGCGUAGAUAUAAGGAAGAACACCAGUGGCGAAGGCGGAUUACUGGACGAUAACUGACGGUGAGGCGCGAAAGCGUGGGGAGCAAACAGG
rnacentral:rRNA from 1 species